GGGCCCGCACAAGCGGUGGAGCAUGUGGUUUAAUUCGACGCAACGCGCAGAACCUUACCAGCCCUUGACAUGCCGUGCUAUUCGCAGAGAUGCGGAGUUCCAGCAAUGGACGCGGACACAGGUGCUGCAUGGCUGUCGUCAGCUCGUGUCGUGAGAUGUUGGGUUAAGUCCCGCAACGAGCGCAACCCUUGCCUUCAGUUGCCAUCAUUUAGUUGGGCACUCUGGAGGGACUGCCGGCGGUAAGCCGGAGGAAGGUGGGGAUGACGUCAAGUCCUCAUGGCCCUUACGGGCUGGGCUACACACGUGCUACAAUGGUGGCGACAGAGGGCGCAGGCGAGAGCGCAAGCUUUAGCAAAUCCUCAAAAGCCAUCUCAGUUCAGAUUGCGCUCUGCAACUCGGGCGCAUGAAGGUGGAAUCGCUAGUAAUCGCAGAACAGCAGGCUGCGGUGAAUACGUUCCCGGGCCUU
rnacentral:rRNA from 1 species